GAUGAACGCUAGCGGCAGGCUUAACACAUGCAAGUCGAGGGGUAUGCCGAUUUAUCGGCAGAGACCGGCGCACGGGUGCGUAACGCGUAUGCAAUCUACCUUUCACAGAGGGAUAGCCCAGAGAAAUUUGGAUUAAUACCUCAUAGUAUAGCAGUUUCGCAUGAAACCACUAUUAAAGUUCCAACGGUGAAAGAUGAGCAUGCGUCCCAUUAGCUAGAUGGUAAGGUAACGGCUUACCAUGGCUACGAUGGGUAGGGGUCCUGAGAGGGAGAUCCCCCACACUGGUACUGAGACACGGACCAGACUCCUACGGGAGGCAGCAGUGAGGAAUAUUGGUCAAUGGGGCGCAAGCCUGAACCAGCCAUGCCGCGUGCAGGAAGACGGUCCUAUGGAUUGUAAACUGCUUUUUGUACAGGAAGAAACACCUCUACGUGUAGAGACUUGACGGUACUGUAAGAAUAAGGAUCGGCUAACUCCGUGCCAGCAG
rnacentral:rRNA from 1 species